rfam:Oryza glaberrima chromosome 5 Oglab05_0122_5, whole genome shotgun sequence.
AAUAAGCACAGUUGUAGGUUUUAGUGUCCAACUUUGACCAUCCGUCAUAUUCGAAAUAUUUUUAUGAUUAGUAUUUUUGUUGUUAUUAAAUGAUAAAAUAUAAAUAGUACUUUAUGCGUGACUUAAUUUUUAAAAUUUUUUCAUAAACUUUUUAAAUAAGACGGACGGUCAAACGUUAGGCAUGAAAACUUAUGACUGCACUUAUA